rnacentral:rRNA from 1 species
UACGAAGGGGGCUAGCGUUGUUCGGAAUUACUGGGCGUAAAGCGCACGUAGGCGGGCGAUUAAGUCAGGGGUGAAAUCCCGGAGCUCAACUCCGGAACUGCCUUUGAUACUGGUCGUCUAGAGAUCGGAAGAGGUGAGUGGAAUUCCCAGUGCAGAGGUGAAAUUCGUAGAUAUUGGGAAGAACACCAGUGGCGAAGGCGGCUCACUGGUCCGAUACUGACGCUGAGGUGCGAAAGCGUGGGGAGCAAACAGG